GAUGAACGCUAGCGGCAGGCUUAACACAUGCAAGUCGAGGGGCAUCAUUACCUUCGGGUAGAUGGCGACCGGCGCAAGGGUGCGUAACGCGUGAGUAACAUGCCCGUAUCAGGGGGAUAAUCUGAGGAAACUUGGUCUAAUACCCCAUAGUUUUAUGUACAGGCAUCUGUAUAUAAGUAAAGUUCCGAUGGAUACGGAUUGGCUCGCGUGACAUUAGUUAGAUGGAGAGGUAACGGCUCACCAUGGCUACGAUGUCUAGGGGUUCUGAGAGGAAGGUCCCCCACACUGGUACUGAGACACGGACCAGACUCCUACGGGAGGCAGCAGUGAGGAAUAUUGGACAAUGGGCGAAAGCCUGAUCCAGCCAUGCCGCGUGCAGGAAGAAGGUUCUAUGGAUUGUAAACUGCUUUUGUAUGUGAGCAAUAAGCUCUACGCGUAGAGUGAUGAGAUUAGCAUACGAAUAAGCAUCGGCUAACUCCGUGCCAGCAGCCGCGGUAAUACGGAGGAUGCGAGCGUUAUCCGGAUUUAUUGGGUUUAAAGGGUGCGUAGGCUGUAUAUUAAGUCAGUGGUGAAAAGCAUGGGCUUAACCGAUGGAGUGCCAUUGAUACUGAUAAACUAGAAUACGGAUGCUGUGGGAGGAAUGUGUAGUGUAGCGGUGAAAUGCAUAGAUAUUACACAGAACACCAAUUGCGAAGGCAUCUCACAAAGCCGUUAUUGACGCUGAUGCACGAAAGCGUGGGGAUCAAACAGGAUUAGAUACCCUGGUAGUCCACGCUGUAAACGAUGAUAACUAGUUGUUAGCGAUACACAGUUAGUGACUAAGCGAAAGCGAUAAGUUAUCCACCUGGGGAGUACGACCGCAAGGUUGAAACUCAAAGGAAUUGACGGGGGCCCGCACAAGCGGAGGAACAUGUGGUUUAAUUCGAUGAUACGCGAGGAACCUUACCCGGGCUCGAACGGCAGAUGAAUCAUUUAGAGAUAUAUGAGUCAUUUAUGACAUCUGUCGAGGUGCUGCAUGGUUGUCGUCAGCUCGUGCCGUGAGGUGUCGGCUUAAGUGCCAUAACGAGCGCAACCCUUGUCGUUAGUUGCCAUCAGGUAAAGCUGGGGACUCUAGCGAGACUGCCACCGUAAGGUGUGAGGAGGGGGGGGAUGACGUCAAAUCAGCACGGCCCUUACGUCCGGGGCGACACACGUGUUACAAUGGGUGGUACAGAGGGCAGCUAUACAGUGAUGUAAUGCGAAUCUCUAAAACCAUUCUCAGUUCGGAUUGGAGUCUGCAACCCGACUCCAUGAAGUUGGAUUCGCUAGUAAUCGCGCAUCAGCCAUGGCGCGGUGAAUACGUUCCCGGGCCUUGUACACACCGCCCGUCAAGCCAUGGGAGCUGGGGGUGCCUGAAGUCCGAGACCGCAAGGAUCGGCCUAGGGCAAAACUAGUGACUGGGGCU
rnacentral:rRNA from 1 species